GUUUUUGUGAUCGGCUUCGGCCGAUCACAGUUGUGUCCAUAUGAGGCAUCCGGCAAAUUUUAAGCAUCUUGGCAUAUUAUUGAUUCUCAGUUGGUUUGACUGUGGCCCCACAAGAUAGUUUGAUAGUAUGCAUGGUAUGCUUCUUGGCGCAAACAUCGAUCCAGCAUCAGCCAUCAACAUUCCUGCAACAAAGUAGGCAAAACCAUCACUAAUGUGAACAAAAAAACCUGAGAAGAAAAAAGCAGGACAUUCAAGACCUUAACGAAAAAUGUGAACUUGCCUAUACACCUAUAAGAGCAGAAGGAGAUGCCAUGUUUAACAAUGCCACCUUUAGUGCCAUCAGGAAAACAUCAUUACAAGCUGCCACACAAAUGACAUAUACUUUAAAUGGUACCAAGAAGAAGAAUGUUGUGGCAAUGUUUUGUGCCAACAAACUGUGCAGGAAAGGCACCCAUCUUAGAGCCAAGGGAAAGGAAGUUACCUGCUGAGGACAUGAAGACUGCACUGCAACCUUUCCUCCAGAGACCACCAUUGGAGAUGUACCGGUAAGAGAUGGGCUGUGCUAAGCGCACGUGAGUUUACUCGUUACGUAACUGAUUAUUAUUCAGUGACCUUGGGAGAGUCGUAGCCUUGGACACCCAAUUCGUGGGCGAGGGGAAUGACAUAUUGCUUUGUACAGGGCGCGGGAGUGUAGCCAGGCGCGGAGUUCUGACAUUUCUAAUGGACUCCAGUCUGUUUUGUUAUGUAAAUGUGCUUUGCAUAACCAUAUCUGUUUUUCAGUGUCGUAAAAUGAUGUAUUCAAGGGAAAUUUUUUUUUUUCGUGCAUGAAUUCAAAAUAAAUAAUUUAUAUACACGU
rnacentral:sRNA from 1 species